rnacentral:rRNA from 1 species
AACGAACGCUGGCGGCGCGCUUAACACAUGCAAGUCGAGCGAACCCGCAAGGGUUAGCGGCGGACGGGUGCGUAACACGUGGAUAAUCUGCCCUCGAGACGGGGAUAACCAGCCGAAAGGUUGGCUAAUACCCGGUAAGCUCACGGUCCCGCAGGGGACAGGGAGAAAAGUGGCAACACGCUUGAGGAUGAGUCCGCGGCCCAUCAGGUAGUUGGCGGGGUAAAGGCCCACCAAGCCUACGACGGGUAGCUGGUCUGAGAGGACGACCAGCCACACUGGAACUGAGACACGGUCCAGACUCCUACGGGAGGCAGCAGUGGGGAAUCUUGCGCAAUGGGCGAAAGCCUGACGCAGCGACGCCGCGUGUGCGAUGAAGGUCUUCGGAUCGUAAAGCACUGUCGCCCGGGAAAAAGAAAGUGAUGGUACCGGGAGAGGAAGCACCGGCUAACUCUGUGCCAGCAGCCGCAGUAAUAC